rnacentral:sRNA from 1 species
AUUAAAUAACAUGCAAUAUAUACGAAUUUGAAUUCGGAUUUGCCUUUAGUCAAAUGGUUAAGUCCAUUUUUCCGUCUUCCCCACCGGAGUUCCACUCCACUAAAUCGCAUAACCCGGCAUAGUAGGGUUUGACUAUGGAUCGGACUUUGUCGAUCCAAAAAUAAAAUAAAAUACGAAUUUGAAUUCGGAUGAUGAUAUGUACAAUGAUAACAC